UUGCUUUGUUGUUGAAAUUGAAAUACUCAUUGGGGUUAAACGAGCGUAGAGUAACAAUACGAUGUUGAAAUUUACUGUCAAAGUUGGAUAGAUUUGCGCUGAUUAACAAUGGAACAAACUGCUAUUGAUUGACAUGGAGGAUUUCUAAAUUAAGGAGUUGAUAUUCCGCAUCAGGUGAACAGAUACUUCAUGAAUUAUAUGAAUCACCAGGGAAAGGACCCGACUACUUGCACAGAUGCAUCCUGGCGGGUGAAAGAAGGGAUGAUCACUUUGGCAACAGAUUGUUCAACUGCUUAAAUGUUGAUGUGGACUCAGUCAAAGAAUUUGCUGUAACUGUGUAUGUCUCUUCACUAUGUGGACAUAAAGUGCUACAGCUUGUUGGAGAUUAAGAUCACCAUGUACUGUUUUAAUGGAGAACAUCUGUGAAUAUUAAUUCUAACAAUGGAAAUUCAAACCUGAAUUAUUAUAAUUAAAAAACAUUUUCAUGUACAUGCUGGAAUUUUAUUUGAAGUGUAGAACUAAAAUAAUUUAGAAUUAUUUUUAAACACAAACACAGUUUUAUUAUAGAAAUAAUUGUAUAAACUUAAGAGAAAUCAGUGUUUAAGUGAUGCAUUUAAUUUAGUGUUUGACCUAUUU